GAUUGAUUGUACUGAACAAAAAUUGUUCCUCUUCCGUAAUCAUCAAUCAUGUCGUUCAAUUCGUUUGUAAGAUCUUCCGCAAAUGCUUUU
rnacentral:ribozyme from 16 species